ACACUGAUAUUGAAGAGGAGGGGAGACAUGAUUCAUUGCUGUUAAACUACAUAGGGGGCAUUUAGAGAAGAGGAAGAGCUGACCACUGAAACUUUUCAUUUUGUUGAAGAACCAUUGCAUUAUACUGGAGUGUAAUGGUAUUAUGGAGCUGUCUGCCUCAGCUACAUAAGACAGAUGCAUCGAGCAAUGCCUUAGGGGCUGUGCUGCUGCAAAGAUAUGAGAAAGAUGAGUGCCCGAUCGCCUUCACCAGCCGUAAACUCAGCCGUGCCAAAACCAGGUUCAAAAUUGCUCAUGCAUCUAUAGGAUGGAAGAGGAGUAUUUCAAAUAUACAGAAGACCUAGGGACGAUGAGAGUGAUAGCAAAUAAGAAUUCUGGAAAGAUUUAAAUUCUGCUGUUGAGUUUAAAAUACUUUCAUUUUAGAUGGUAAAUCAGUAUGUAAUUAGGAAAACCACCAAAUGUUAGAUUUAUUCAACAAAAUUUUGCACAUGAAGGUUGUAUCAGUCAGAAUGAUAAAACUAACAUCACCAAACUGGCACCUGCUUUUGCUCAUUCC